GUAUUUAAAAGCAUGUUUCAAAGUCCUUCCAAAAUUAAGAGCCCUCACAACUCCAGACCCCCCCUGGUCCACUCCAGAUUCAAACUUCAAGAACAGCGGCUUAUGCUCCUGCAAGGCCUCGGAUCUCUCCAUUUGUGUUACUUGAGGUUCAACAGCAACCUCCUCCAUUAUCUUCUGCACUUGUGCUUGCCCUGUCAAAACAAGUUCCUGGGCUGGUUCCUGAAUGGUUUCUAUAUGAGUAUUCACCGUUUGUCCAAAGUUUUUAACUGCAACAGUCAUCAAAUCCAUCUUCUCAUGCAUCUGCUCCAGCAAAGCACUUGUCUUGCAAAAAGCAAGCACCAAGACUUCUUGUAAACACAUUUUUAUUCAAGGUCAGAGUCUGGUCUCACGAUCCUAAUCUUACAGCUGUGAACUCCCCAGAUCGACUCCGGCAACAAAUUAACAAGCUCCCUCUAGAGGAGACAAUUUCUAUUUGUAUCCAUCUUUUGAAAGCAGGACCAACAAAAGAAAAUUACUUUCAUUUUUCAAAUACUUUGUUUCUUUUGAAUGCAAGAAGCAACAUUGGAAUCAAUUUGUUUCUCUUUUUUUACUAUCUGUCAAAAGACGUUCCAUUCACAGUCGAUGAACUUCCCCAUAAAUUUCUGUCUCUGACACCCCGUUCCCAGGUUUGAGACGGUGGAAAUUUAUCUUUCUUUACUCUCUCUCCUGCAGGCUUAAACAGUCAAAAAUUCCCCCCCUUUUCUCCUGCUUCCAAGAGGGGUUUUGGUGGUGUCAGAGCUGAAGGAAAUUUAGACCUUUAUACAUGACUUUCCAGACUUUAGCUUACAAAGUUUUGCUUCAAUCUAUUUACAAAAACGGGAGGCGGACUUCCUGUUUUGAGCCUUCCCACUUCAGUGCCAAAUUAAAAUGUUUCUUAAUCCAAUUUUCCGUUCUACUCACGGGUACUUGUUUAGAGUCCAAUUGUCCACAGGAAAAAGUCAGCGCUCUCCGGCAACGGCUGUGCGGCUUCACUCCGUAAAAGUAGCGGUUGAUUCAAAACACCGCGCCACUCACCCCACGUCGCUUCGGAUCCCCGAAAAAGGGUUUCCCUGCGAGUAGGGGAGGCGCUCCUGGUGUCAGCCGAAUCCCACGUUCCCAGGCUUCCUCCGCCUGGGAUUUUUAGAGGGUCUCCGCCUUCGCCGCGGCGGCAAGACCCGAUUUUCAUGGAGCGGGUUCCUCUCGGUCAGAGGAACUCCGCCAUUGCCGAUGGCGCUAACCCGGAAGUCCCAGGUUUGCGGCAUGUGUCUUCUUCAGGUGUUCCAAUAAUUAAGAAAAUGAGGCCAAUGCUUGCUUGCUUAUUCAAAAACGCAUACACACUCUCAAGUUCAGUGUAUUUUCCCAUUCCACCAAUGCCUACAACAUGUUAAUUAAUUAUUUGAGGCUCCCUGCCACACUUUCCUCAACUUUUCAUUCAAAUCAGGAAGCAGACUGUUUUUUUCUAAAACUUUGGUAAAAAUACUGUAUCUAGCAAUAACAAAUCGGCCAAUUAAUCUUGGAUUCUUCCUCACAGUACCUGUAGAUAACUACUAAUUUCUUAACAUUUCUUUAAUUAUUAAAACAUGUUUCCAGUACGGUUUUACUGAUCUAUACUGCUCCACACUGCCAUUUGUGGGGGUUUUUGUUAAUGCUCUGUACAAAUAGCACACACUUUUCUUAAUCUGGCAGAUUUGUAUUACCAACAUGCACAGUUGUGUAAAAAACAUUGCCGGUGACACAUUGCAUAUAAUUUUUAGAAGCCUUUUUGAAUCGGUCUGUAAAUUCUUGGUCUAAAUCUGAACAUCUUAGAUGGCACAUUAAAUUGAGCAGAGCCGGAAGGUGGUAUUCCAGGCUGAGGACUUCCUGGCUGGCUGAAACAUAGCAAAGGAUCCAAACUUCCCAUGCCGAGGCAGAAUAAUAGAGUGUGAGUAGAAAGAACAGACUCCUAUCCCAAGCCAACAAGGCCCUAAUCACACCUUCAAGGCCUUAGUUGAAUUUGGAGCCAUAGCUAAAUAGUUUGGUUUGAACUCCGUGUUUGGGGCUUCAAGCCAUGAAUGACAUCUAUGCAUUGUGACACUUGUCCUUCUCAAAGCUGAAAAAGAGCUUUCUGCUGUGGAUGUGUGUUUGAUAACCUCUUCAAUUUCUGCAGGGGCUUUAAAUGAGGUAGCCAAGUCAUUCAAAGGGGGUGGGAACAGUAGGGGGGUACACCAGUGAGAUUUCUUCUUAAUAAGAUUGAUUUCAUGCUUCUACUUCUUCAGCUGAGUGUCAUGCUAAUCAGUUUAGCUUGUGUGUUUUUUAUUUAAGGAGCGGUAGUGCUUUCUGUCUCUUUAAAUUGGAACAUACCUAAUGGUUUUUAAUGAAGGAAAUGACAGCCUGUCUGGUGUCUUCAUUGCUACAAACCCAUUUUAUGGAAACUGCUGAAGCUGGGUGACCACUUCCUAAAAAUGAAUUCCAUUAAACUGUUUAGGGUUGGGGGGGGGUGCCUGAUACCAUCUUAACUGGAAGGGAAUGUCACAUUGACAUGUGAGUGUGAAUUCAGAGCCAAAGAGGUCUGUAGCUUGCUUGCUGCAAAGGAGUUUAUUUCAAGCACUAGUUACCUUAUAUUUUCCCCCUUCUCCAGUUCCCUAAAGUUUGGAGGUUAUUUGCUCAGGAAAUGUUGACAUUCUUAACCUUCUUUUGUACUCUUAGGUGACAAAUGCUUGUGAAAUGUAAAAAAUGUAUGAAAGAACCAAAUAGAAGCAACAUUAAUUGCUUUGGAAUUGGGGUUUUCCUUUAGCUCUAAUCUGCACCCUCUGAUUUAGAAUGCUAUAACUUUUUUUGUUGUUGAAAGGAACUCUCCAGUAUGUGCUCAGUUGAAAGUUAUUGCCUGUUCUAACACCUUAGCUGCUUAAAGCCGGAUGAGAGCACAAACCUCUCCUUAUUUGCUGGGUAUAUUUACUUUUGCAUUCUUUUGAGAUCUGCAAAGUUUGAAAGAAUGUGGGUGGCUGGGGGCUCUCCUGUUGUCUUUUUUCCGACUGCCAGAGCUGAGUGUGUGUUUCACUAGACAAACCACUUCACUCUCUCAUUUUCUUGGUGCCUCCAUCCCUUGUUUGUAACACCAAAAGGACAUUGUUGCAACAAAGUUGUGAUCGAUCCUUGUAAAAAAAAAAGAAGUGUGUUUUAGACAUCAAAUAUGCCAUACCGACAGUAAUACAGUAGCAGUAAAAUUACAGAGCUUUUCUGGAAGGGAGACUUAUCAUAUUGCUGCUUUGUGAUGUCCAUUUAAACCAUGCAGUUUUUACGAAUAUGAACUUCAUGCAGUUGAAUCCCAGAGGGCUAGAGCGAAUAGAAAACUCCUCUUCCAGUUUCACUUAAAAAUCCUUUUCUUUAAAAAUAAUUCUUGGUCAUAAGUGUAGCUGGUAUGUUUUUCAAUGUUGUGUAAAGCUUUUGGGGCUUUUUGACUCUGGGCUGAUGUAAUGUUACCACUGUGAGCUUUGGUGUGGUCACGUUCCUCCUUAAACCAGUAAAAUCUAUAUCCAGGAACCUGGUGGGCUGGUGGAUGGCAUGCCACCUUCCCUUGGGAGAUGGCAACCUUGCCAUGGGAAGUGGCCCUGCCACUCACUUCUUUGACUUGGGUGUGGAUGCAGUCGUUCACAAGUGCUGCGUAAGACUUGACCACUCGUAAGCAGUUCCCAUGCUGCAACUGUAAUUCUGCAUUGGCCCUUGUUCGCUUCCACUGUGAUUUGGGUGCCUUCUUGCCUAAGACCAGCUGGUCAGUUUGCAGCCAACAACUUGCUUUCUGCUGCAUAGCGCAGACUGCCCAAAGGCUGGAUCCCUGUUUCAUUGAUACGUGCUGACAAAGCAAAUGUGAUGGGUUGUUUUUCUGUGUGGGAACACCACUGUCCAUUCUCAGUGAUUUGCUUGUGCUGCUUUUCAUAUGUUAAAACUUAGGGCUGUACCCCCCCCAUAGUGUUUUCCUUCUGUGGCUGUCUUUAUACCUGCUGUGGUGACCUCUCUGACCAUGUAUCUGAUUUGGUAUUGGGGAUGUUGGGGGGUGGGGAGAUCAUGUGGUAGAAAUUACAUGCAUCUAUGGGGAGGUGUGCAUAGCCAGUGAGCCCACAGAUCUAUGUGUUGCUUUGUAGGGUUAUGUGACUGAGUCCAUAACUGUUACAAAAAAAUGUUCUGUCUGAGUUAGUUCUUGUGUGAACAGAUUAAUGUAACCACCCUCAUCCCACCUAUGAAAAACCAAAUAUAGCUGACACUGAAAACUGACUUUGAGCAGGGAACUGUAGUCUGAAUUCCCAAAACGAUUUGGGCAUCCUGUCCGUUUGGCAUACAGGGUGUUUGCCUGGACAGGAAAAUGAAUGUACAGAUUGGAGGGAGACAUGGAGGAGGGGAAGGUUUUGUUUCAUAUGGUGUUGACAUUUGUUCCUUAAUUUCUACGUCACACCUGCCGCAGUUCCCUACACUGUCCUUUCUUCCCACUUAGAAACACCACACAUGUAUUCGGGGCUGCAACCCUAUCUACUUUGCCACAGGAUCUCACAAGUUGGGGAGUAGCAACAAUUCAUGUGCUUGUUGUAGAAGAGAGAUGUAUAGGAAAUUAACUUAAGCGAAACAGCCAUAUGAAUUCUGAAUAAUGCUCAAAAUUGGGACCAGGACAAACACACUCAACUGGGAUCCCAAUAAUAUGGUCAUCUUGAGCGAUGGCCAGCAGUCAAGCAAUGUUUUGUGGCAGACAUUAUCUGUGUGAAUCGGUGCCUUCACGCAGAGUGCUGUAUAUGCCAACACAGCGAUUUCUGCUGUGUUAGUGGCACUUCUUGGAAACAGCACUAUCACAGAAAUUGGUGCAGAACCCAUGUGGAAGUUUACACACCUCCAUGUGAACAUGCCCUGCAUCUUCCUGAGGUGACUGCAUGCAUGUCCCUUGGUGGUUUCAGGUUUCCCUGUCACAAAAGACUCCAUGAGUUCCCUUUCAUGGAAGUUAGACUUCACACCCAACCACCAGCCUCUUUGAGGCUCAUCAUUUACAUUAAUGGCAUGAGAAACAAUGGCUUUGAAAUGAUGGGAUCAACUCCAUUAAUAUGCUGCUUAAAUGGCAGCCAUUAACACACCGUCACCGAUUUCACAAAUUACACCAAAUUACCAAGCAGCAACUACUGUGUGAAUAAUGUCAUGCCAUAAGCCUAUCCAUAUUGUUCAUAAAAUAGCUAUUAUCAGAUGUGGGUCAGAUACAGGGGUUCUUAAAGUAUGCUCAAACACACUGGCUGCUGUGGUAACCAAAAACUCGCUUUGCUGAUGCUGUCCAGUCCUUGGGGGAGACAGACAAUGUCAGCUUCUCCAGAUGUUUGACGUGAGGCCACCAGCUUUUCCCCAACGACAACAAACAUGUGGAAACCACACUUGACUCACUUGGCUGCUCUGGUCUGCUGCUCACACAGACCUAACUGUGAAGUAUUGUAAUUCUCCUCAGUGCCUGUUGUUACCUAAUUUAAUCCAGCAUUAUUGUGUAUUGGGAGUAGGUAUUUUCUGCUGAACACUCCCCUCCCUUGAUCACUGUGCACUGUUCAGCCUGACAACCUUUUUCUGUACAAAUUGUAUUAAGUAUGACAGUCUAUUUGUCCCUGGUAUUUUUUUUAAGACAGCUUCUCUGCACACGUAACUUUAAUGUCAAAUAUAUAUACGGUGUGAUCUUCUUCCUUUUUUUUGUUUUCUAAUUGUGGAUUGAAGUAAAUUAAGUGGAAUUCCUAAUUGCCUGUAACACUGAAUGUACUGUGUGUCAAACAUGAACAAGUGUUUGUAAUGAAACUGGUUCUUGAUAGCUGUUUUUAAAAUUGAAACCCUUUUACACUUUGCAUAUUUGUACAGUUAAUUUGAAAUAAACCGGAAUUGGAAAUUUU